CAGAUAUUUGAGACCAGAAUGAAGCCACAUUCAGUCUUGCGACAUUCCGGGAUUGGCCCCCGGGCUCUUGCUCGUGGACCCCUUAUCAGAAGCUUGGCUCCUCGGAGCUGACUCCUGGUUUUCAUCUUACUCAGCAAAAAUUCACUUAUAAUUCUUCCUUCGAAGUCCCGAGCCGAAUCCAACUUAGGUACGUUUCAAGAUGCUGCCAUGCUCUUAGAGCAUUUGCUGGAAAGGUAACUAUUAUAUUUUCCAUGCGGGCACCACAUGCUUGAGCUUGUGUUAAAACGCGCAUUUGAAGUGAAAAUGGGCCUCUCUACUGGUCCUGAUGUAAAACUUUUUCAGAAAUUUCAGGAUAUGUGGCCAAACUUGGACAAAAGAAAUUAAACCUUUUGUAGAUGAUCCUAAAGCGCCAAAGAUAUCAGAGACUGAACGUGCUGAUAUUUUAAAUUUUGUUGCAUAUGUUCUAAAAAGUAAGCAGAUAAGAGAUGGAGUUGUGAUUCCCCGGUGGCCUAUUCGGAGGAACACACGUGUUCACAGUUUCUUUUGAUUGCGAAUAAUUUUGUCCAUAGUUUCUUGUUCUCAAUUUCGGUGUGCCUUUGCGUCGCUCAAUUUCGGAUGUGAUUUUAAGUAGAACUGUAAUGUGAAAUUAAUCAGAACCAUUAUUUUGACUCGGACGUCAAAACAUUGUGAUGCCUUAUGUCGGGCCCCGAUUCAUUUGCCAACACGAUCAAUUAAUUGACCUAUGUCCUCACUGUGCCGAUCUCAAACAUCCGACAUGUAUACACAGUAACCCGGUAUUCGGAGUGACAGUUUGUGAUUCGUGCUUCCCAAACUACAAACCCUGUUUUACCAGAAGUGACCACAAAGCUGCCCAACAUUCAGGAGAAAAGCUAGAAAGGAGGUCUAACCUCAAAACUCCCUCUAACUCACUAGCCAUUUUACACGCCACCAAUUCAGUGAAAACCCAUCAUCCUGGGGAUACGCGAAUAAACUUAGCCAAAAAAAAAAAAAAAAAAAAAGAUAAGAGAUGACUACGAGGAGUUUCUCAUUUUAGUCCAAGUAUUCUUCGGAGUUAAGCUUGAUGUUAGUUUUAGGAAACCAGGUGCCAUUCACCACGCCCGGUGGAUGGCUAAAGGAUUUUAUACAUUAAAAAUGUAUUCAUUCCGUAUGCAGUUUAAAAUGACAAAAAAGGAAAAGAGAAAAAUUUUGGAUCAGUGUCUAUUUAUUGUGAAAGUGUACGUAAAAGCAUGGUACACUUGCCAUUUGCAAUUCAGGCGCCUUACCAUGAUUUAAAUUUCAUCAAACGACUCCUCGACUACGAAGCAAUAGAUUCAGAUAUAUCUGGAGUUCCUGCUGUCGCAACUUUUCAGAACCAUUUAUGGUACUUAGCCAACCAAACAGUUGCGCUUUCAUUUUUGAUGAAGACAUCCCUUUGGAAACGAAACGUAAAAUGGUGUCAAACUUAAACGAAGAGUUUUUUUUCAAAUUGCCAAAAACACGUAAAAUUUAAGGAUAUAAAAGAUAUUAAAAACUGUGAAAUUGCCAAAUUUAUUAGUAAGGAUACCAAAUAUUUCUUCGUAAAACUUAAACUUCCACACUCUUUUCUAACAAGCGAUCCAUCUACUUGGCAGAAUUCUCUAGAUUUGCAGACAAGCAAAAAUAUUCUCGCUUAAGUUACAGUAGUUAACAAUUGUGCUGAAAGAGGCGUUAAAUUAAUUCAGGAAUAUG
rnacentral:lncRNA from 1 species